UACUGUGUUAGUUUGCCUUUUUUUUGUUUGUUUGUUAGAAGUAAAAUGAACAAGAUUUAAUUUGAAUUUAAGGGAAUAGUAAGAGAAGGGGAAAAUAAUCAGCUACCCAGUGUCUGUUUUUACUGCCCCCAGUUGGGCAGAGCCGUGAAGAUAUAGAGCUAGGGCUUGUCACACCGACCACGAAGCAGCAGUGUGUUACUGAGGCCUUGAGGAAAACGUGCUUACAUAGGACUCUAUCCUGCCUUUCACAGAACCUACGGAGAGAGGAGAUGUUUGUGAAUCAGGAAGAAGUGUGCCAUGUUGUAUGCACCACAGAAGGGUAGGAGGGAUCCCCAGGAAGAAGUCAUGGGAGAUCUACCCUUGGUAGACUGAGAUAGCAUUUCAUAAAAUACUGGAAGUGAAGCUUGACUGGAAUCUCGAUGUUCAUGCAUGGGAAGAAGGUUGAAAUAAACUUGACCAGUAGAGUUCCCUAGUCCUGUUCAUUUGCCGAAUUGACUUAGAUUCCGUGGAUCGGCGUGUGGAAAACUGAUGCCAUGGCAGGAUUACCAGACUGUAAAUUCAUCAAGAAGUCUGAUGAUAUCAUAAACUGUGAGAAGCCAGUGUCCUACAGCAGCAUCAGAAACCUCCCAGUUGGAUUUAGUGCUGGUAAUCCAUUUUAUUCCUCUCCAUUAGUUACUACGAUGAUAACAGAUUGGCGACACAGCCCCGUUUUCUGCCUCUCAUUCUGUCUACUGCUGGGCACAGCUGCUCCCAGUCAUUCUUUCCAGUGUAAAUAAUGGUUCAUGUUUCCACAGACUGUCGCGAGGUCUCUCUGUGCUUGUGAAAUGAACCCAUGUCACCACCCUGUUGGGGAAGAUUGAAGGGAUGAGUGAAGCCAAGGAACUGCAGAAGGAAGCCAAAGCUGCACCCCCUCCCUGAGGGAUGGUUUUUGCACUUGAGAACAUUUGGAUUGACUGGGUGUUAAUGAUGUGAAUUUUCAUGAGUGGGGGGCAAGAAAAUGCUAUCACUUGCGUCUGUCUGAUGCAGGCCUUUUUACUUUGGAACUUUUUCUUUCAUGUUAGAUGUAAAUAAUGAACUCCUUUGUUGUGAGAGGGUAUGUUACCAGGCAGUAAACACUUCAGCAAAGAGCAUCUUUUGAUCUUCACGCCUUUGGCAAUAAAGGCUGAGAGCCAGAAACAGGCCAGAGAAUUUGGGCUGCACAGAACCACUAAAAGCUUCCCUUUUAUCUAUUCACAAAAUUAGGUGCAGAACUAUAGGAGCGAUGGAUGGAGUGACAAUUAUUAACAAAGAUGAAGGGCAAAACGAAGCCACCUGAAUGAUGAAAGCUGAAAUUUGGAUUUUAAGAUCUAUUUUAGAACUCAGUGAAUUCUGUAAGAAAUUAGGAGCAUUAUGUAGACACAGCAUAAAAGAAAUGAGUAAAAAUGUGUCUCUCU